GGACUACUGGGGUAUCUAAUCCUGUUUGCUCCCCACGCUUUCGCGUCUCAGCGUCAGCAAUGAUCCAGCGAGUCGCCUUCGCCACUGGUGUUCCUGCGAAUAUCUACGAAUUUCACCUCUACACUCGCAAUUCCACUCGCCUCUAUCAUGCUCCAGGUGACCAGUAUCGAAGGCAGUUCCAGAGUUGAGCUCUGGGAUUUCACCCCCGACUUAAUCACCCGCCUACACGCGCUUUACGCCCAGUAAUUCCGAACAACGCUAGCUCCCUUCGUAUUACCGCGGCUGCUGGCAC
rnacentral:rRNA from 1 species